rnacentral:rRNA from 1 species
GAUGAACGCUGGCGGCGUGCCUAAUACAUGCAAGUCGAGCGAACAGAUGAGAAGCUUGCUUCUCUGAUGUUAGCGGCGGACGGGUGAGUAACACGUGGGUAACCUACCUAUAAGACUGGGAUAACUCCGGGAAACCGGGGCUAAUACCGGAUAAUAUUUUGAACCGCAUGGUUCAAUAGUUAAAGACGGUUUCGGCUGUCACUUAUAGCUCGACCCGCGCCGUAUUAGCUAGUUGGUAAGGUAACGGCUUACCAAGGCGACGAUACGUCGCCGACCUGAGAGGGUGAUCGGCAACACUGGAACUGAGACACGGUCAAGGCUCCUACGGGAGGCAGCAGUAGGGAAUCUUCCGCAAUGGGCGAAAGCCUGACGGAGCAACGCCGCGUGAGUGAUGAAGGUCUUCGGAUCGUAAAACUCUGUUGUUAGGGAAGAACAAAUUUGUUAGUAACUGAACAAGUCUUGACGGUACCUACCAGAAAGCCACGGCUAACUACGUGCCAGCCGCCGCGGUAAGAC